rnacentral:rRNA from 1 species
UUUAACGGCCGCGGUAUCCUAACCGUGCAAAGGUAGGGUAAUCACUUGUCUCCUAAAUAAGGACCAGUAUGAAUGGCUAAAUGAGGGCCAGCCUGUCUCCUUUAACUAAUCAGUGAAACUGAUCUACCAGUACAAAAGCUGGUAUUAUACCAUAAGACGAGAAGACCCCGUGGAGCUUCAAACCAUACACCAAGUAAACUVMCAACAUACGCCUUUGGUAGAAGGUUUUAAGUUGGGGCGACUUCGGAAUAAAACAAAACUUCCGAGCAUAAAGAUAUUAUCUAACCAAGACUUCCAAGUCAAAGACAAACUUGACCCAGCAUUUGCUGACCAYCGAACCAAGUUACCCCGGGGAUAACAGCGCAAUCUUCUUCAAGAGUCCAUAUCGACAAGAAGGUUUACGACCUCGAUGUUGGAUCAGGACACCCAAAUGGUGUAGCCGCUAUUAAAGGUUC